AGCGAACGCUGGCGGUAGGCCUAACACAUGCAAGUCGAACGGCAGCACAGAGGAGCUUGCUCCUUGGGUGGCGAGUGGCGGACGGGUGAGGAAUACAUCGGAAUCUACUCUGUCGUGGGGGAUAACGUAGGGAAACUUACGCUAAUACCGCAUACGACCUACGGGUGAAAGCAGGGGAUCUUCGGACCUUGCGCGAUUGAAGGAGCCGAUGUCGGAUUAGCUAGUUGGCGGGGUAAAGGCCCACCAAGGCGACGAUCCGUAGCUGGUCUGAGAGUAUGAUCAGCCACACUGGACCUGAGACACGGUCCAGACUCCUACGGGAAGCAGCAGUGGGCAAUAGUGGACAAUGGGCGCAAGCUUGAUCCAGCCAUACCGCGUGGGUGAAGAAGGCAUUCGGGUUGUAAAGCCCUUUUGUUGGGAAAGACAUCCAUCUGGUUAAUACCCGGGUGGGAUGACGGUACCCAAAGAAUAAGCACCGGCUAACUUCGUGCCAGCCGCCGCCGUAA
rnacentral:rRNA from 1 species